GGAGGGCGGCGUGCGGCGGGAGACGACAGUGACCGAGCUUAGUGUGCAGAACUGGAGGAAGGCGGUUUACCCCCUCAGCUGCUAGUCCGUCUCCCUGGGCGCUGCGGAGGCGCGGGGCCUGCGGCGCGGCGUCGUGACGUCACGGUGGCGGCGGCCGUGGUUGGCGCACGGUCCGCGGCUGCAAAGUGUGAAUUACGCCGGGCUCGCGCCGGCGGCGGAGUGAAGUCAGGCUCCGGGGGAGGGGAGGGGCAGGACGGUGGCGACGGCCCGAGCUGGUGGCUGGUCCCGAGCCCCGCGCGCCCUGGGUCUCGCCGCUGGCUCCGGCAGUCUUUUCUUGCACCGCUUUCUUCUGUCCUUGCUCCGCUCCUGCUCUGCCCUCCCCAGACCCGCUCCUCCCGGCCGAGGAGCCCCGGGGCGGCAGGGUUCCCCCUCCGACUUUGCCUGUGCUGCCCCCGCUUGCACCCCGGAGCCGGGCGCGCGCUGGUCCUCGUAACUGUCGCUGCGGCCGCCGCAGCGUCUUCCCGCCGGCGGCCCGGGCGGAGUGUUGGGGUGGGGAAGGCGUGAGCGCGGCUUCCCGGCCCGGGGUCGCCUCCCACCCACCCUGCCCCCGCCUCGGCCCGGUGCCCCAGAGCCGCGGCCCCUUCCCAGCGCAGGGGCCCGCUGCCGCGGCUGGGCGGGCGCCGCGCGGGGGCAGGGCGGGCGUAUUCAAUGGAAGUAUGUUACCAGCUGCCGGUGCUGCCCCUGGACAGGCCGGUCCCCCAGCACGUCCUCAGCCGCCGAGGAGCCAUCAGCUUCAGCUCCAGCUCCGCGCUCUUCGGCUGCCCCAAUCCCCGGCAACUCUCACAGAGGCGUGGAGCUAUUUCCUAUGACAGUUCUGACCAGACUGCAUUGUACAUUCGUAUGCUAGGAGAUGUACGUGUAAGGAGUCGAGCAGGAUUUGAAUCAGAAAGAAGAGGUUCUCAUCCAUAUAUUGAUUUUCGUAUUUUUCAUGCUCAAUCUGAAAUUGAAGUUUCUGUGUCUGCAAGGAAUAUCAGAAGGUUACUAAGUUUCCAGCGGUAUCUUAGAUCUUCACGCUUUUUUCGUGGUACUACUGUUUCGAAUUCUCUGAACAUUUUAGAUGAUGAUUAUAAUGGACAAGCCAAGUGUAUGCUGGAAAAAGUUGGAAAUUGGAAUUUUGAUAUCUUUCUGUUUGAUAGACUAACAAACGGAAACAGUCUAGUCAGUUUAACCUUUCAUUUAUUUAGUCUUCACGGAUUAAUUGAGUACUUCCAUUUAGAUAUGAUGAAACUUCGUAGAUUUUUAGUUAUGAUUCAAGAAGAUUACCACAGUCAGAACCCUUACCACAAUGCAGUCCACGCUGCAGAUGUUACUCAGGCCAUGCACUGUUACUUAAAAGAACCUAAGCUUGCCAGUUCUGUAACCCCUUGGGAUGUCUUGCUGAGCUUAAUUGCGGCUGCCACCCACGAUCUGGAUCAUCCAGGUGUUAAUCAACCUUUCCUGGUUAAAACCAACCAUUACUUGGCAACUUUAUACAAGAAUACCUCAGUCCUGGAAAAUCACCACUGGAGAUCUGCAGUGGGAUUAUUGAGAGAAUCUGGUUUAUUCUCACAUAUGCCAUCAGAAAGCCGGCAACAAAUGGAGACUCAGAUAGGUGCUUUGAUACUAGCCACAGACAUCAGUCGCCAAAAUGAGUAUCUGUCAUUGUUUAGGUCCCAUUUGGACAGAGGUGACUUAAGCCUAGAAGACGCCAGGCAUAGGCAUUUGGUUUUACAGAUGGCUUUGAAAUGUGCUGAUAUUUGUAACCCGUGUCGGACCUGGGAAUUAAGCAAGCAAUGGAGUGAAAAAGUCACAGAGGAAUUCUUCCAUCAAGGAGAUCUAGAAAAGAAGUAUCAUUUGGGUGUGAGCCCACUUUGUGACCGUCAGACUGAAUCUAUUGCCAACAUUCAGAUCGGUUUCAUGACUUACCUAGUGGAGCCUUUAUUCACAGAAUGGGCCAGGUUUUCCGAUACCAGGCUCUCCCAGACCAUGCUCGGACAUAUGGGGCUGAACAAAGCCAGUUGGAAGGGGCUGCAGAGAGAACAGUCCACCAGUGAGGACACGGAUGCUGCGUUCGAGGAGUUGAACUCACAGUUAUUACCUCAGGAAAAUCGGUUAUCAUAGCCCCCAGCGGCAGCGGGACAGACUGCCUCCUGCAGGUGUUUAGAAAUGUGAAAUGGGGUCUCGAGGCGAGAGGACGUUCUCUUGGCUGCCAAGGUUUCCGAAGGAACAAGGCCAGCGUUAUUUAUUCCCAAGGUGGCCUCUCUCGGAUCAUGUGACCCCACUUUUUAAUUAUAAGACCCGAACAUACAGCAAUAUGCAUUUGGCUUUCGUGUGAAACCUUGAAUAUGCAAAGCCCAGCAGGAGCGAACCGGAAAGGAGUAACAGAGGAAGCUUUGCGGUGUGCCACGAGUUUUUCGAAGCAUUUGUUCCUCGAACCACGAAACUUAAAGUGUAUCUUCCAGCAGAAAUCUCUUGGAAUUGAACCAGUCUGAUGCAACGUUGCGUAUCUGUACCUUCCACUGAGUUCUCUCGGAGAUGGAAAUGUGAAGUGCCCAGCCUCCGCCGCCUCCUGCAAGACUCGAUGUUUACAGAUCAACUCUGAACUCCUGGUUCUACGUUGCCUUGGAGCAUGACUGUGAAGGAACCACUGAAUUUUAAAGCUCAAACUGAACCUGCAGCUCUUUUCCCCUGGUUUGCCUUUUUUCUUCUCUGGAUGCCACCAAAGCCUCCCAUUUGCUAGAGUUUUAUUUUGCGCACUGGAAACUGAGCAUUUAUCAUAGAGUACCGCCAUGCUUUCACUCCAGUGCUGUUUGGCAAUGCAAUUUUUUUUAACUAUUCGUUUUUAAUUUGGGGCGGGAGGGGAAGAACACCAGUGUCCUAGCUGUAUUAUGAUUCUGCAGUGAAGACAUUGCAUGUUGUUUUCACUACUGUACACUUGACCUGCACAUGCAAGAAAGAGGUGGAAUGUUUAAAACACCAUAAUCAGCUCAGGGUAUUUGCCAAUCUGAAAUAAAGUGGGAUGGGGAAGUGUGUCCUUCAGAGCAAGGGUACUAAAGUCCCUUUCGCUGCAGUGAGUGAGAGGCAAAUCUUCUUGGGAAGUCAGAUUAUGAUCAGCGGUUACUUGGUGAGCAUGGAUUCUGGGCCAGGGAAGCAAGUUGCCUCGUGCAGCCAUCUCCCUGCAGGGAUAAACUUGCUGAUGCUCCUGUCCGUGGACCAGGGGGCGCUCUUCCCCUGGAUGAUGCCGGAGAGUCGCUGCACCAGGGGGCGCUCUUCCCCUGGAUGAUGCCGGAGAGUCGCUGCACCAGGGGGCGCUCUUCCCCUGGAUGAUACUGGAGAGUCGCUGCGGGUAGUUGCUUCUCCACAUCAGCUUCUGAUCGGCACAUGCAGUAGAUCUGCCAGACCUUCAGCUUGGUCUCAGUUGAGACUGCCUGGGCCCCCUCUGCCGGCGUGUGAUUGCUUCUGCUCUGAUCCAUUAUGUGUUUCUUAUUGUUUGAUAGUCAAAGGAUUAUCUUAUUUCCAUUUUUGGGAGAGACACCUCAGUGUUGCUCCCAUUUCCUGCCUACACAUAUAAUAAACCCACUGAAAAAUUUUGUUUUGUUACAUAUACUUGGAGGUCCCAGUCUACAGCCCUGCUUCUGAAAUAUAACCGAUAUUCCUUGAACAUUGAUUUUCUAGAAAAAAUUUGAGGAAACAGUUGAAUAAUUUAGAAGAUUACUAAUCACUUAAGUAAAUGUUAUGGAACAGAAUUAAAAUUCAUAUGAAUUUUUAAAACGGGAGACUUCAAAGAAUUGUUGAGCAUGUGGCACUUUUGGGGCUCUAGGCCCAACACUUCAGUCGUGGGGGGGCAUCUCCUCUGCUCUGGGGGUAAAGGUCCAUAGAGAGAAAAUUUUGGCACAAGCCUUAGCUUAAUGAAAAAAAAAUCUGGUAUGUGGUCAAUAUUUGUAUUCUGUAAAUGUGAUGGUUUAUAAUGAUCCUCUUUGUAUAAAAGCAGCAAAUAUUUUAUGUCCUUUGCAAACCUGGGAAAUCUAUUUGUACCUGAGGUACAGGUUAGAGGUGCUAGUAAUUCUUUGAAGAUUCCUAUAAUGGUUUCUUUUUCCAAAAUGCUUUCCUGGCUCUUUAAGCUUUCAGUUUUCUUAAAACUCUCAAACUUUUGCAUCAGAGGUUUACAAUGUUUUCAUGUGAACUUUUUUAAUAUAAAAAUAUUAAAUCCUCUCCCAAUCAGUACCUUCUGCUUUAGAAAAUACAAUGAUAGACAGCUAAUACACAUUCACUAAUGUUUUUAAAUAAAUGUGCAAGAGUUCGUCUGAGCCAUUAGUUGCUUGCUAAGGAUCUGCAGACAUGUGUCUUUCGGAAGGCCCCCAAGGGUCCAUGGUCUGUAGGUGGAAUGACUACUACUUGGAGGUGAGCUGACAGGGAGCACACAGCAGGUCUCAUCCGCCUUCUAGUCUCUUGUGCUUAGCACAGGGCUAGCACAAAUCGGGCCAUCAAUGAAUGUUUGUGGAACAAACUAAUUGGUACCAAUGUGUUUCCUCUUUAGCCAUCAGUCUAACACUGAGCAAUUACAGCGAAAGUUGUCUGUGCUGAAUCAUGUGGUCAGCAGCAUCUGGGUUCCUGCUGCGUGCAGACAGCCCUGCACUGGAUGUAAUAAAGGUAUUAAAAAUUACAAAACCCUGGUCUCUGUUCUCAAAAUGUUUGGGUGACAAAAUUAUGUGUGAAAAGCAUUCUAUAAUAUGGCAGUUUCUGUUUUACACGAAAUGAUUGCAAAAUAUUGGGGUGUGUUUUAGGAGAAUGGUUUAGUUUGGUUAAUGAUGCAAAUGACACCCAUUUCUAGUAACUCUUAAAUUUUUUUAACAUCCAUGGCUGGUAAAAUUAUUUAGCCUUCAAAUUUGAUUCUAAUAUACAUUCUCCACAUCUUCAUCAACACAUGUUAUGUUUCCUUUCUGAUAAUAGUCAAUCUACCAGGUAUGAAGUGAUACUCUGGUUUCGGUUUGAUUGAUGGCGGUGAGCAUCAUUUCAUUUACCUCUUGGCCGUCUGUAUGUCUUCAAUGGAAAAAUAUACAAGUCCUCUGCCCAUUUUUUUAAUCGGAAUAUUUGUUUUUUUGAUACAAAUUGUGUAAAUUCUUUAUAUAUUUUGGGUAUUAACCCAUCAGAUGUAUGAUUUGCAAGUAUCAUCUUCCACUAAGUGGGUUGCCUGUUUUUGUUUUGUUGCUGGGUUUCCUUGGCUGUGCAGAAAUUUUUAGUUUGAUAUGAUCCUGCUUGUUAUUUUAAUAAGCCUUCAUUGCCCUUGCCUGAGGAGACUGGUCCAAAAACAUAUUUCUAAGAUCAAUGUCAAAGACCUUACUGCCUGUGGUUUCUUCUAGGAGGUUAUGGUUUUAGGUCUCAUAUUCAAGUCUUUAAUCCAUUUGAAUUUAUUUUUUUAUAUGGUAUAAGAUAGUGGCCCAGUCUUUCCAACACCAUUUAUUGAGAUAUUGUACAUCCUUCGCUCCUUUGUCAUAGAUCAAUUGACCAGCUAUGCCUGGAUUUAUUCCUGGGCUCUUUAUUCUGUCCCAUUAAUCUAUACGUCUAUUUUUAUGCCAAUAUCAUACUGUUUUAAUUGCUAGAGUUAUAGAAUAGGUUUUGAAAUCAGC